UACCUUUGCAUCCAAAUCAGGGAUAUUCCCUGGCUACAUAAUAAUCAUUUAAAUAAUAUUAGCAUG
rfam:Flavobacterium rivuli WB 3.3-2 = DSM 21788 strain WB 3.3-2 contig4, whole genome shotgun sequence.